rnacentral:piRNA from 1 species
UGUUAGUUUCACUUUGUCUACAAAUCCUAAC